UACGUAGGGUGCAAGCGUUGUCCGGAAUUAUUGGGCGUAAAGAGCUCGUAGGCGGUUUGUCGCGUCUGCUGUGAAAACUCGGGGCUCAACUCCGAGCUUGCAGUGGGUACGGGCAGACUAGAGUGCGGUAGGGGAGACUGGAAUUCCUGGUGUAGCGGUGGAAUGCGCAGAUAUCAGGAGGAACACCGGUGGCGAAGGCGGGUCUCUGGGCCUGUACUGACGCUGAGGAACGAAAGCCAGGGGAGCGAACGGG
rnacentral:rRNA from 1 species